rnacentral:rRNA from 1 species
GAUGAACGCUGGCGGCGUGCCUAAUACAUGCAAGUCGAGCGAACAGACGAGGAGCUUGCUCCUCUGACGUUAGCGGCGGACGGGUGAGUAACACGUGGAUAACCUACCUAUAAGACUGGGAUAACUUCGGGAAACCGGAGCUAAUACCGGAUAAUAUAUUGAACCGCAUGGUUCAAAAGUGAAAGACGGUUUUGCUGCCACUUAUAGAUGGAUCCGCGCCGCAUUAGCUAGUUGGUAAGGUAACGGCUUACCAAGGCGACGAUGCGUAGCCGACCUGAGAGGGUGAUCGGCCACACUGGAACUGAGACACGGUCCAGACUCCUACGGGAGGCAGCAGUAGGGAAUCUUCCGCAAUGGGCGAAAGCCUGACGGAGCAACGCCGUGUGAGUGAUGAAGGUCUUCGGAUCGUAAAACUCUGUUAUUAGGGAAGAACAAAUGUGUAAGUAACUAUGCACGUCUUGACGGUACCUAAUCAGAAAGCCACGGCUAACUACGUG